rnacentral:rRNA from 1 species
GACGAACGCUGGCGGCGUGCCUAACACAUGCAAGUCGAACGGAGAUAGUUAAUGAAGCUUGCGAUUUAGCUAUCUUAGUGGCGAACGGGUGAGUAACGCGUGGGUAACCUGCCCUUAAGACCGGGACAACAGCUGGAAACGGCUGCUAAUACCGGAUGUAUUGUCCGAGAGGCAUCUCUUGGAGAAGAAAGCUGGCCUCUGAAAAUGCUAGCGCUUAAGGAUGGACCCGCGUCUGAUUAGUUAGUUGGUGGGGUAACGGCCUACCAAGACAGCGAUCAGUAGCCGGCCUGAGAGGGUAAACGGCCACACUGGGACUGAGACACGGCCCAGACUCCUACGGGAGGCAGCAGUGGGGAAUCUUCCGCAAUGGACGAAAGUCUGACGGAGCAACGCCGCGUGAGUGAAGAAGGUUUUCGGAUCGUAAAACUCUGUUUUCAGGGACGAAUGUGCGCAGUGUAAAUAAUGCUGUGUAAUGACGGUACCUGAGUAGAAAGCCACGGCUAACUACGUGCCAGCAGCCGCGGUAAUACGUAGGGGGCAAGCGUUGUCCGGAAUCAUUGGGCGUAAAGGGCGCGUAGGCGGCAAUAUAAGUCUGAUGUGAAAGUGCGGAGCUUAACU